GAUGAACGCUAGCGGCAGGCUUAAUACAUGCAAGUCGUGGGGCAGCAUGGUGUGUAGCAAUACACACUGAUGGCGACCGGCAAACGGGUGCGGAACACGUACGCAACUUACCCUUAAGUGGGGGAUAGCCCGGGGAAACCCGGAUUAAUACCUCGUAACACUGUGAAGUGGCAUCACUUUAUAGUUAUAGCUCCGGCGCUUAAGGAUGGGCGUGCGUCCCAUUAGGUAGUUGGUUGAGGUAACGGCUCACCAAGCCUGCGAUGGGUAACUGGUGUGAGGGCACGACCAGUCACACGGGAACUGAGACACGGGCCCGACUCCUACGGGAGGAAGCAGUAAGGAAUAUUGGUCAAUGGACGCAAGUCUGAACCAGCCAUGCCGCGUGGAGGAUGAAGGCCCUCUGGGUUGUAAACUUCUUUUAUGGGGGACGAAACCCCGGAUUUUUAUCCGGCCUGACGGUACCCCAGGAAUAAGCACCGGCUAACUCCGUGCCAGCAGCCGCCGUAAUAC
rnacentral:rRNA from 1 species